GUGAGGAAUUUUCCGCAAUGGGCGAAAGUCUGACGGAGCAAUGCCGCGUGAAGGAUGAAGGCCUAUGGGUUGUAAACUUCUUUUCUUAGAGAAGAAUAUUGACGGUAUCUGAGGAAUAAGCAUCGGCUAACUCUGUGCCAGCAGCCGCGGUAAGACAGAGGAUGCAAGCGUUAUCCGGAAUGAUUGGGCGUAAAGCGUCUGUAGGUGGCUUCAAAAGUCUCCUGUCAAAGAUCAGGGCUUAACCCUGGGCCGGCAGGAGAAACUCUGAGGCUAGAGUUUGGUAGGGGCAGAGGGAAUUCCCGGGGGAGCGGUGAAAUGCGUAGAGAUCGGGAGGAACACCAAAGGCGAAAGCACUCUGCUGGGCCACAACUGACACUGAGAGACGAAAGCGAGGGGAGCAAAAGGGAUUAGAAACCCUUGUAGUCC
rnacentral:rRNA from 1 species